rnacentral:sRNA from 1 species
ACCAACAGGAUGGACAUUAAAAAAUAAAUUAAAUGAUGGGAAUUAUCAUAUUAAACCAAAAAAA